GUGGUGGCCGCGCGGUUCUGCGCGCGGCGCCCGACGGCGUUCACCGUGACCAAGACCGGCUGGCCGUGGCGCCGCGACCUGACCGUCACGGACGCCAGCGGCGCGGCGGUGAUGUGGGUGGAGGGGCCCUUCUUGAGCCUCUUCCGUCGCUCCGUCCUCCUCGACGCAGAGUCACGCCCGGUGCUCACCGUGGAGCGCUCGCCGUCCGUGUUCGAGAUCACCCGGAGGUGGGAGGCGUUCAGGGGGGGUAGUACGAGCUCCAAGGAUCUGCUCUUCAUCGCCGUCGUGCAGCCUUCGCUGACCAACACCGGGGACAUCGACGUGCGCCUCGCAGGUGAGGGGUGCCGCCACUUCGCCGGCGUCCGCCCCUGGUACUGCGGGACCGACUGCACCGUCAACCGCGCCGGCACCGCCGUUGCUCGCAUAGAAAGCUCCGGGGGGUUCCUCUUCUGGCCGACCAAGUAUGAUGUUCGUGUCAGCGCGGGCGUCGACCAUGCCUUCAUCCUCGGGCUCACCAUGAUUCUCGAGGGGAUACGUCUCGACGACGCUGAACAAGAGAGG
rnacentral:rRNA from 1 species